rnacentral:ncRNA from 2 species
UGUUACCUUGCCGUGGCCAGUCGAACUCAGUACCCGCGGUACCUGGGUCAGGGAAUCCGGUGCGAAUCCGGAACUGACGCGCAGCGGUGAGGGUGACGGGCGCGGCAGCACGAGCCACUGGGCACUGACCGGCCCGGGAAGGCGCCGCGUCCGGUCGAUCCCGAGUCCGAAGACCUGCUGGCGCCCGUUACGGACG